rnacentral:rRNA from 1 species
CCUACGGGAGGCAGCAGUGGGGAAUAUUGCACAAUGGGCGAAAGCCUGAUGCAGCGACGCCGCGUGAGGGAUGACGGCCUUCGGGUUGUAAACCUCUUUCAGCAGGGAAGAAGCGUGUGGGUUCUCUCAUGCGUGACGGUACCUGCAGAAGAAGCACCGGCUAACUACGUGCCAGCAGCCGCGGUAAUACGUAGGGUGCGAGCGUUGUCCGGAAUUAUUGGGCGUAAAGAGCUCGUAGGCGGUUUGUCGCGUCGGCUGUGAAAACCUGAGGCUCAACCUCAGGCCUGCAGUCGAUACGGGCAGACUUGAGUGUUGCAGGGGAGACUGGAAUUCCUGGUGUAGCGGUGAAAUGCGCAGAUAUCAGGAGGAACACCGGUGGCGAAGGCGGGUCUCUGGGCAACAACUGACGCUGAGGAGCGAAAGCGUGGGGAGCGAACAGGAUUAGAUACCCUGGUAGUCCACGCCGUAAACGGUGGGCGCUAGGUGUGGGGCUCAUUCCACGAGUUCCGUGCCGCAGCUAACGCAUUAAGCGCCCCGCCUGGGGAGUACGGCCGCAAGGCUAAAACUCAAAUGAAUUGACGGGG